UAGGGAAUCUUCGGCAAUGGGGGCAACCCUGACCGAGCAACGCCGCGUGAGUGAAGAAGGUUUUCGGAUCGUAAAGCUCUGUUGUAAGAGAAGAACGUGUGUGAGAGUGGAAAGUUCACACAGUGACGGUAACUUACCAGAAAGGGACGGCUAACUACGUGCCAGCAGCCGCGGUAAUACGUAGGUCCCGAGCGUUGUCCGGAUUUAUUGGGCGUAAAGCGAGCGCAGGCGGUUUAAUAAGUCUGAAGUUAAAGGCAGUGGCUUAACCAUUGUUCGCUUUGGAAACUGUUCAACUUGAGUGCAGAAGGGGAGAGUGGAAUUCCAUGUGUAGCGGUGAAAUGCGUAGAUAUAUGGAGGAACACCGGUGGCGAAAGCGGCUCUCUGGUCUGUAACUGACGCUGCGGCUCGAAAGCGUGGGGAGCAAACAGG
rnacentral:rRNA from 1 species